UCCCAGACUCCUACGGGAGGCAGCAGUGGGGAAUAUUGCACAAUGGGGGAAACCCUGAUGCAGCGACGCCGCGUGAGCGAUGAAGUAUUUCGGUAUGUAAAGCUCUAUCAGCAGGGAAGAAAAUGACGGUACCUGACUAAGAAGCCCCGGCUAACUACGUGCCAGCAGCCGCGGUAAUACGUAGGGGGCAAGCGUUAUCCGGAUUUACUGGGUGUAAAGGGAGCGUAGACGGCCAUGCAAGCCAGGGGUGAAAGCCCGGGGCCCAACCCCGGGACUGCCCUUGGAACUGCAUGGCUGGAGUGCGGGAGGGGCAGGCGGAAUUCCUGGUGUAGCGGUGAAAUGCGUAGAUAUCAGGAGGAACACCGGCGGCGAAGGCGGCCUGCUGGACCGCGACUGACGUUGAGGCUCGAAAGCGUGGGGAGCGAACAGGAUUAGAUACCCGAGUACA
rnacentral:rRNA from 1 species